UGUUUCGGCUAGGGGGCCAUCCCGGCUUACCAACCCGAUGCAAACUGCGAAUACCGGAGAAUGUUAUCACGGGAGACACACGGCGGGUGCUAACGUCCGUCGUGAAGAGGGAAACAACCCAGACCGCCAGCUAAGGUCCCAAAGUCAUGGUUAAGUGGGAAACGAUGUGGGAAGGCCCAGACAGCCAGGAUGUUGGCUUAGAAGCAGCCAUCAUUUAAAGAAAGCGUAAUAGCUCACUGGUCGAGUCGGCCUGCGCGGAAGAUGUAACGGGGCUAAACCAUGCACCGAAGCUGCGGCAGCGACACUGUGUGUUGUUGGGUAGGGGAGCG
rnacentral:rRNA from 2 species